rnacentral:lncRNA from 1 species
AUUGGAAUGCCAAAAGUCAUGUGGGUGAAUGAUGUAAGGAUAGGACAUGCAUGAAUAAAUUGGUGGAUAAAUAAGCUGUAGAUGGGUUCUGCUCUGCAGGCCACUUUCAGCAGCAAGCAGAACUCCUCCUCUCCUUCUUUAAGAGAUCUGUUCAGCCUUGAAGAUGUCAAGCUCAUGGUGACGGAAGGUUGGUUGAAAGCUCCAUACAAUCCUGACAAAGUCAUCUCACUCCACAAGCAGAGUUUAUUGCGGUCUAUAUCAUCCUUACAUAUCAUCCCUGUUGCUUCCUCAGAGUGGGAAAUAAGAAGCAAUCAUAAUCCUUUAUCAAUACAUCAUAUUCUCUUCAUGGUUAUGUAAGUUUCUCAAUAUUCAGCUUUAACUUGUGCCUUUCUAUGACCCCUUUUGAAAAUGGUAGUAUCUAUAUCUGAUUUCUACCAACAUGUGGGAAACAUUAAAAGUUAAAGAUAGGAUGAGACACCCUUCAUAAACAUUGAGAAGGUACAACAGCUGAGAUCAGUCAUGUUGCUCUAGUCAAGACGCGGUGUUCUCUCUCCCUUCACCACACUGUGUUAUCCGGACCCCUGGAUCCUUUGGUUUUUGCUUUGGUAUGAUUCUGUGCAAACAUGGAAUGCCCACACAAUACAGUGCAAUGGAUACCUUUGCAUAGCAAAUGAGAAGUGAUUGUGGCAUGAUGAGUGUCUUCUAGCAUUCACUUUGGGUCUCAGUUGUCUGUCCUCAUCGCCUAAUUAACACUUCAUGGAGAUUCAAAUAAAUGUUAUUCUAGCUGUCA